rnacentral:rRNA from 1 species
CCUACGGGUGGCUGCAGUGAGGAAUAUUGGUCAAUGGGCGCGAGCCUGAACCAGCCAAGUCGCGUGGGCGAAGAAGUAUUUCGGUAUGUAAAGCCCUAUCAGCAGGGAAGAAGAAAUGACGGUACCUGAGUAAGAAGCACCGGCUAAAUACGUGCCAGCAGCCGCGGUAAUACGUAUGGUGCAAGCGUUAUCCGGAUUUACUGGGUGUAAAGGGAGCGCAGGCGGCACGGCAAGCCUGAUGUGAAAGCCCGCGGCCCAACCGCGGGACUGCAUUGGGAACUACCGGGCUGGAGUGCCGGAGAGGUAGGCGGAAUUCCUAGUGUAGCGGUGAAAUGCGUAGAUAUUAGGAGGAACACCAGUGGCGAAGGCGGCCUACUGGACGGUGACUGACGCUGAGGCUCGAAAGCGUGGGGAGCAAACAGGAUUAGAUACCCGUGUAGUC